GACACACUGGUUCGAUUUCCCUUCCCAAAAGAUUGGCUUUAAUUUGCUGAUGGUUAAGGUUAGACGUUUCGACGUUGGUUGCACCAACGGCGUUCUUAGAUUUGCUUAUCAUUUAAUGCGCAUGGUUUUGACCAUUGCGCAAGGGGUGAGGUAUUGAGGAGAAUAAAAAAUAAAAAUAAAAUUAUAAUAAAAAAAAUAAUUAGAAAACAAGGUUUUUCUUCACCAUGCUUGCAAACAAUGAUUGACAUCCAGCUAAAUGAGUGUUAAAUAUUUGAAAAAAGUUUUCAACAGAUGGGUAGAAGCAGUCCCAUCAAAAGACCAAAGUGCGACUACAGUAAUCAAGUUUCUGACUGGAGAAGUCAAGACAAGCAAGAGAAACACAAAGUUCCAGGGCCAGAGGAGGAGCCAGAUGCAGACACGCCCGGAGCCGACCAACUACCCAAGGAUGAUGCAAUCAGAUUUCGUACGGAUGGGUCGGUGGCCAGGGCGCUGGCAGGGUUACAGUCCCUCAGAUUAGAGUUGGCAGAGAGCUCCGGCAUUAAUGACCCCUUCACAGGAUGGAUGGAGAGCCCAAUGAGCGAUGGGUGCUACAGCAGCAGGUGCCAUCCAAGCUUACCUGGGGAUCGAGUAUACACCGGAGAGUUUGGACGAGGGACCACCAGAGGGGCCCGACCUGAUCUGGCUGGAGAACAUAGAAUAGACCCCCUGCACCAUUGUCCAAGAGCCCCCACGCAAUGCAGCGCACCAAUACAUGAAGAUCAUCCGGCCCCGGCGUCCUGUUUCCACCACCGUAUGCUGAAACC
ensembl:lncRNA